rnacentral:rRNA from 1 species
UACGAAGGGGGCGAGCGUUGUUCGGAAUUACUGGGCGUAAAGCGUGCGUAGGCGGUUUUGUAAGCCAGAUGUGAAAUCCCCGGGCUCAACCUGGGAACUGCAUUUGGUACUGCAAGGCUAGAGUACGGGAGAGGGGGGUAGAAUUCCUGGUGUAGCAGUGAAAUGCGUAGAUAUGUGGAGGAAUACCGAUGGCGAAGGCAGCCCCCUGGGAUAACACUGACGCUCAUGCACGAAAGCGUGGGGAGCAAACAGG